ACAAAACCGGAGGAAAGGUGGGGAUGACGUCAAGUCAUCAUGGCCCUUACGGCCUGGGCUACACACGUGCUACAAUGGUCGGUACAAAGGGUUGCCAAGCCGCGAGGUGGAGCUAAUCCCAUAAAACCGAUCGUAGCCCGGAUCGCAGUCUGCAACUCGACUGCGUGAAGUCGGAAUCGCUAGUAAUCGUGAAUCAGAAUGUCCACGGUCGAAUACGUUCCGGCCUU
rnacentral:rRNA from 1 species